rnacentral:misc_RNA from 1 species
AACGCACCUUGCGCUCGCUGGUAUUCCGGCGAGCAUGCCUGUUUGAGUGUCAUGAACUCUUCAACCCUCCGGUUCCUUGUUGAACUGUGAGGUGUUUGGAUUCUGAGCGCCUGCUGGCCUUUGUAGGUCUCUCUUCGGGGAGUCUUUGCAAAAGGCGAAGCUCGUUCGUAAUACAUUAGCAUCUCAAAUUUCGAACAUUCGGAUUGACUCGGCGUAAUAGACUUAUUCGCUGAGGACACCUUUUCACGAGGGUGGCCGAAUUUCGAGGUAGAAGCUUAUAACUCUACAUUUGAAGUCAAAUUUUUAGAUUAGACCUCAAAUCAGGCAGGACUACCCGCUGAACUUAA